AUUAUUAGAAAUGAAAUGUUAUUCGUUUAUAAAGAUAUCUAGUUUUUUUAGAAAUAAAUUUAAUUUAAAAAUUUUUAAUUUUAUUAAUUAAUUGUAUUAAUUAAUAAAUUUAUAAAUUUAAAUAUUUUAAGGGAUAAGCUUUAGAAUAAAUUUUUAUAAAUUAAUAAAUGAUAAUUAAAAUUAUAUGCAUAGAAUUAGUAAUUAUUAAAAAUUUUGUUAUAAAUUAUUUUAUAAAAUAUAUUAUUUAUUAUAAUUUUAAAUUUUUAUAAAAAUAUUUUUUUUAAUUUUAUUUAAAAAGUAAUAAUGAUAAAAUUAGUAUAUUUAUAUUAUGUAAAUAUAAUUUAUUUUGAUAAGUUUAUAUAAAGAACUCGGCAAAUAUUUUACUCGCCUGUUUAACAAAAACAUGUCUUUUUGUGUUAUUUUUAAAGUCUAACCUGCCCAAUGAAUAAAUUUUAAUGGCCGCAGUAUUUUGACUGUGCAAAGGUAGCAUAAUCAUUAGUCUUUUAAUUGAAGGCUUGAAUGAAUGGUUGGACGAAGUAUAAUCUGUUUCAUUUAAAUUUAUUAUAGAAUUUUAUAUUUUAGUAAAAAAGCUGAAAUAUUUUUAAAAGACGAGAAGACCCUAUAAAUCUUUAUAAUUUAUAUUAUUUUUAUUUUUUAUAUUUAUUUUAUUUAAAUAAUUUGAAUUAUUUUGUUGGGGUGAUAUUAAAAUUUAAUAAACUUUUAAUUUAAUUAUUUCAUUAAUUUAUGUUUUAUUGAUCCAUUAAUAAUGAUUAAAAGAAUAAGUUACUUUAGGGAUAACAGCGUAAUUUUUUUGGAGAGUUCUUAUUGAUAAAAAAGUUUGCGACCUCGAUGUUGGAUUAAGAUAUAAUUUUAGGUGUA
rnacentral:rRNA from 1 species